rnacentral:rRNA from 1 species
AGAGUUUGAUCCUGGCUCAGGACGAACGCUGGCGGCGCGCCUAACACAUGCAAGUCGAACGGAGAAUGUGAGACGGAAGCCUUCGGGCGGAAGACUUACAUUCUUAGUGGCGGACGGGUGAGUAACACGUGAGCAACCUGCCUUCAAGAGUGGGAUAGCACCUGGAAACGGGUGGUAAUACCGCAUGAGACCACAGCAUCGCAUGGUGCAGAGGUCAAAGGAGCAAUCCGCUUGAAGAUGGGCUCGCGUCCGAUUAGAUAGUUGGUGAGGUAACGGCUCACCAAGUCGACGAUCGGUAGCCGGACUGAGAGGUUGAACGGCCACAUUGGGACUGAGACACGGCCCAGACUCCUACGGGAGGCAGCAGUGGGGGAUAUUGCACAAUGGGCGAAAGCCUGAUGCAGCGACGCCGCGUGAGGGAAGACGGCCUUCGGGUUGUAAACCUCUGUCAUUCGGGACGAAGAAAGUGACGGUACCGAAGAAGGAAGCUCCGGCUAACUACGUGCCAGCAGCCGCGGUAAUACGUAGGGAGCGAGCGUUGUCCGGAAUUACUGGGUGUAAAGGGAGCGUAGGCGGGAAAGCAAGUUGGAAGUGAAAUGCAUGGGCUCAACCCAUGAGCUGCUUUCAAAACUGUUUUUCUUGAGUGAAGUAGAGGCAGGCGGAAUUCCUAGUGUAGCGGUGAAAUGCGUAGAUAUUAGGAGGAACACCAGUGGCGAAGGCGGCCUGCUGGGCUUUAACUGACGCUGAGGCUCGAAAGCGUGGGUAGCAAACAGGAUUAGAUACCCUGGUAGUCCACGCUGUAAACG